GUAUGUUGUGGCAUAGUGGUUUGAAUGUUGGACUAUGGCUCUGGAGACCAGGGUUCGAUUCCCAGCUCAGCCA